GAAACAGUUGCUAAGACUGGAUAGGAAAUUAAAAGGCAUCUUUUAAUUUUUAAAAGACCUUUUUCGGAAGGUAUGCUUAAAGAGGGGCUUGCGCCACAUUAGUUAGUUGGUAAGGUAAAGGCUUACCAAGACGAUGAUGUGUAGCUGGACUGAGAGGUUGAACAGCCACAUUGGGACUGAGACACGGCCCAAACUCCUACGGGAGGCAGCAGUAAGGAAUUUUUGGCAAUGGAGGAAACUCUGACCGAGCGACGCCGCGUGAACAAUGAAGUACUUCGGUAUGUAAAGUUCUUUUAUUGAAAAAGAAAAAAUAGUGGAAAAACUAUCUUGACAUUAUUCAAUGAAUAAGCCCCGGCUAAUUAUGUGCCAGCAGCCGCGGUAAUACAUAAGGGGCGAGCGUUAUCCGGAAUUAUUGGGCGUAAAGGGUGCGUAGGCGGUUUGAUAAGUCUAUAGUUUAAUCGCAGUGCUUAACGCUGUACCGCUAUAGAAACUGUCUGACUAGAGUUAGAUAGAGGCAAGCGGAAUUCCAUGUGUAGCGGUAAAAUGCGUAAAUAUAUGGAGGAACACCAGAGGCGUAGGCGGCUUGCUGGGUCUUAACUGACGCUGAGGCACGAAAGCGUGGGGAGCAAACAGGAUUAGAUACCCUGGUAGUCCACGCCGUAAACGAUGAGUACUAAGUGUCGGGUUUUGGCUCGGUACUGAAGUUAACACAUUAAGUACUCCGCCUGAGUAGUACGUACGCAAGUAUGAAACUUAAGGGAAUUGACGGGACCCCGCACAAGCGGUGGAUCAUGUUGUUUAAUUCGAAGAUACACGAAAAACCUUACCAGGUCUUGACAUAAUUUUGCGACAUUAUAGAAAUAUAAUGAAGGUUAUCAGAAUUACAGGUGGUGCAUGGUUGUCGUCAGCUCGUGUCGUGAGAUGUUAGGUUAAGUCCUAAAACGAGCGCAACCCUUGUCGUUAGUUGCGACCACAUAAUGGUGAGCACUUUAGCGAGACUGCCAAUGAAAAAUUGGAGGAAGGUGAGGAUUACGUCAAAUCAUCAUGCCCCUUAUGAUCUGGGCUACAAACGUGAUACAAUGGCUGUUACAAAGAGUAGCUACAACGUGAGUUUUUAGCCAAUCUCAAAAAAACAGUCUCAGUUCGGAUUGAAGUCUGCAACUCGACUUCAUGAAGUUGGAAUCGCUAGUAAUCGCGAAUCAGCAUGUCGCGGUGAAUACGUUCUCGGGGUUUGUACACACCGCCCGUCA
rnacentral:rRNA from 1 species